GACGAACGCUGGCGGCGUGCUUAACACAUGCAAGUCGAACGGAAAGGCCCUGCUUUUGUGGGGUGCUCGAGUGGCGAACGGGUGAGUAACACGUGAGUAACCUGCCCUUGACUUUGGGAUAACUUCAGGAAACUGGGGCUAAUACCGGAUAGGAGCUCCUGCUGCAUGGUGGGGGUUGGAAAGUUUCGGCGGUUGGGGAUGGACUCGCGGCUUAUCAGCUUGUUGGUGGGAUAGUGGCUUACCAAGGCUUUGACGGGUAGCCGGCCUGAGAGGGUGACCGGCCACAUUGGGACUGAGAUACGGCCCAGACUCCUACGGGAGGCAGCAGUGGGGAAUAUUGCACAAUGGGCGGAAGCCUGAUGCAGCAACGCCGCGUGCGGGAUGACGGCCUUCGGGUUGUAAACCGCUUUCGCCUGUGACGAAGCGUGAGUGACGGUAAUGGGUAAAGAAGCACCGGCUAACUACGUGCCAGCAGCCGCGGUGAUACGUAGGGUGCGAGCGUUGUCCGGAUUUAUUGGGCGUAAAGGGCUCGUAGGUGGUUGAUCGCGUCGGAAGUGUAAUCUUGGGGCUUAACCCUGAGCGUGCUUUCGAUACGGGUUGACUUGAGGAAGGUAGGGGAGAAUGGAAUUCCUGGUGGAGCGGUGGAAUGCGCAGAUAUCAGGAGGAACACCAGUGGCGAAGGCGGUUCUCUGGGCCUUUCCUGACGCUGAGGAGCGAAAGCGUGGGGAGCGAACAGGCUUAGAUACUCUGGUAGUCCACGCUGUAAACGGUGGGUACUAGGUGUGGGGUCCAUUCCACGGGUUCCGUGCCGUAGCUAACGCUUUAAGUACCCCGCCUGGGGAGUACGGCCGCAAGGCUAAAACUCAAAGGAAUUGACGGGGCCCCGCACAAGCGGCGGAGCAUGCGGAUUAAUUCGAUGCAACGCGUAGAACCUUACCUGGGUUUGACAUGGAUCGGGAGUGCUCAGAGAUGGGUGUGCCUCUUUUGGGGUCGGUUCACAGGUGGUGCAUGGCUGUCGUCAGCUCGUGUCGUGAGAUGUUGGGUUAAGUCCCGCAACGAGCGCAACCCUUGUUCACUGUUGCCAGCACGUUAUGGUGGGGACUCAGUGGAGACCGCCGGGGUCAACUCGGAGGAAGGUGGGGAUGACGUCAAGUCAUCAUGCCCCUUAUGUCCAGGGCUUCACGCAUGCUACAAUGGCUGGUACAGAGAGUGGCGAGCCUGUGAGGGUGAGCGAAUCUCGGAAAGCCGGUCUCAGUUCGGAUUGGGGUCUGCAACUCGACCUCAUGAAGUCGGAGUCGCUAGUAAUCGCAGAUCAGCAACGCUGCGGUGAAUACGUUCCCGGG
rnacentral:rRNA from 1 species